rnacentral:lncRNA from 7 species
GACGCCGCCAUGGGCAGGCGCGCGCACGUACGGCGAGUUCGUUCUGGACGGGACGACGAGCCGCCAGCCAGUCCAACAGCCGCGCGCGCGCGCGCAACGCCAUAACGCCUCCGGCGCGGCAGCGCCCCUCUCCCACCCGCCUACCUAGUCACUGAAUCCAAAACCGGGUCGGAGCGCCCCAGGACGCGCGGCAGCGCCCCCGGCUCCAGGCCGCGCUGGAUUCUGGCCUGGUUCCAAGCCCGUCGACGCCGCCG